GUCACCCUAGAACCCAAAGACCCGGAGUGGCCCAAGGCAGAUCCGAGCGGAACUCACUGCCUGAGAAGAAAUGCGAAAUACGUGGUUAGGUAGGAUGUGAUAACGGGGCUGAGGUUAAUAUUUACAGUUGAUGCAACACUGGCCACUACAGCAAGCCCAGUGCAUCAUCCGUGACUAACAGCGACUCUGGUGGAACGGUUGUGGUUAUUCCAAUUCAUUGUUGACCAAAGACAAGACCUUUGUUCAAAUCUAAACUGCUCGCGUCUCAAUUGAAAACUGUUUCACCUUUUUAAGCUCCAGUUUCUUAUUUGCGACUACACACCCUCAGUUCGUUAAGUAAGCGAUGGAUUGUCGUUCAAAAUCGAAUGAUACCACCAUCUCGGCCAGACACAAGGUUCAUGAGCAACUCGAGUGUGUAAUAAGGAUUAGACAGAAUGCGGUCAGCAUUUGCCCGAAUGCAGCCAAGGAAUGAUCGCAAUCAAUGAAUUACUGCCGAAAAAGCGUGAAAACAAGAUCACCCCGGGGGGACACGACAACAUAAAUACUUGACUAAAAACGCUACAGUUUUGUGUUGGUGACAUUGUCUACAACUUUGUUUAAUAUGAUAUUCUCUCCCGCUUAACGGGCUGCUUGCUGUGUGAAGUAAUAUCCAGAACAAUGUCUUCAAUGCGGGUUGCAGUCCGGAACGACAACAAAUGUAUCCCCAUGUGCCAGUUAUCACGGAUGAUAUAAAAAAAUAAAGUUCUCCACAAAUUAUCCCGAACCUUCGGAGUAAAACAGAAAGUGCAGGAGCAGCGGCUUACCUGGUUUUUAAUAACGGAAAUGAACGGACACUGACAUUUGUCAUAUCCGAUAAUGAAGAUCUUAAUACAUUCAAGCAAGAACGCAGUCAGAUUGCAAUGAAACUUGGCUGUUGUCACCACCAAACAGUGCAUAUUGUAUGUAAAAUAAAUUCCGUGUUUUUAUGCUGAA